GCGGGAGGGACAAUGAUCGGGAUAGAAACCCAGGCAUUCAAGCCGGAAUGGCUACCCUCUUUGGGUCCCCUCCCUUUGUAUGGGAGCUCUGUUUUCACUCUAUUCAAUCUUGCAACUGCACUCUUCUGGUCCGUGUUUGUUACAGCUUGAGCUGAGCUUUCGCUCGCCUUCCACCACUGCUGUUUGCCGCCAUCGCAGACCUGCCGUGCUGACUUCCAUCCCUCUAGAUCUGGCAGGGUGUCCGCUGUGCUCUUGAUCCAGCGAGGCGCCCAUUGCCGCUCCCGAUUGGGCUAAAGGCUUGCAAUUGUUCCUGCACGCUAAGUGCCUGGGUUCAUCCUCAUCAAGCUGGGUUCCACGGUUCUCUUCAUGACCCGCAGCUUCUAACAGAGCUAUAAAACUCUGUGCAUGGCCCAAGAUUCCAUUCCUUGGAAUCUGUGAGGCCAAGAACCCCAGGUCAGAGAACAGGAGGCUUGCCACCAUCUUGGAAGUGGCUCGCCACCAUCUUAGGAGCUCUGUGAGCGGAGACCCCCACCCCCCGGUAACAUUUUGGCGACCACGAAGGGACCUCCAAAGCGAGCUAGGGAGAUACCUGUGCCAACUCUGGCUUUGUUUGCUCUGCCAGACAAUCCUGAUGCUGCAAAGUCAAAUCAUCGUGAAGGAAGUUUGUGCAAAUGUGGGAAACAGGACUAUAAUCCUGCUUGAAGUUUGCUUAGAUUCCUGGGAAGUCUCCCUAUUCCAACCCUUUUUGAGAAAGAGGUUGUGUUCUGCUAAAGUCAAGAAGAAAACCAAGAAACAGGAAACCAUGAGAUGUAGCAGAAGAGGGAGGCAAAGUAAAAUCCUAGGAAGAUGCAACAAAAGUAUCAAGACCACAGCAAGCCUAGAUCAACCAGUCCAAGUCUGAAGGCCUGAGGACCAGGAGCACUGAUGAUACUGAGAAAACGUGGUCCUUUUGUCGGUAAAAGAGUUUGGUAUAACAACAUCAAUGCAUGCGGGAAUUGUUCCUUUCUGCCUAAAGUACAGUUUUGGAUGAAGAAAAAAAGAUGAAGCUGUUUUCCAGAGACCAGCACUUCAUCCCUGAGAAAAUGUCAAGAUUAUAGGCAUGCUCUAUAGAAGAUAAUGAGUUAAUACCGAAUGGCUAAAUCAGGGGAGUAUUUGAUUGGGGUUCCCAGAAACCAACAAGAUGUGGAUUCAUAUUCAAAUGCUUCCAGGAGAAUCAAGUAAGGAAGUUAAGAAAGAGAAAGAAAGGAAACAAAGGAAAAAAAUGGCAGCAUACUGAAACGGUAAAUGGAAAGGCCAUGUUUUUUGAGUGACACCAUUAGAGUAAAAACUAGCCAGAGGCAUCUGGUGGACAAGCAUCUGAGCCACACAGGAGGGAAGUCCUGUCCAUGAGAUGCAUUCACGUACUAAAGCAGGUGUUUUACCUAACAUCUCUGUGUUGCCAGGUUUUGCAGCCACUGAAGUUAUUGAUCACUUUUCAAAAAUGUCUCACUUUGCAUAUCGACUACCCUCCGUUGCUCCCUGCUAGUUUUUAAAUCUGCACUUUGGGGCACUAGAAGUGACUGAAAUAUCAGUUAAGUCCUAUUUGACAAAUACGUAUUUAGAGUAACCAAUUCAAUAGGGCCAUAAAGAAACUACGGGGUUAGUGCUAGUUAAUAUUGAGACAUCAGUUUUGGGAAUUUUGCUGUUUAUUGGUGGAAGCUACAACGAGAUUUUGUGUAGUUUCUAUUAAAACAAUAAAAUAUUAUCUGAUUCAUAAUUCAGUUCAAAAUACGCUUUAAUGUUUUGCUAGAUGUGUUGGACACUCAGCUUCUAUUUCCAUGGGCUGAAUAAUUGAUGUUUACAUUUCCCAGACAUCCAUACAGUUAGGGUUCUAAAAGUAAGUUACAUCUUCCACUUGGAUUUGGAACAUUUCCUCAUUCCAGGUUCCAGACCGCUAUAUCAACAGACUCGUAGAAUGUUACUGAACACACUGAACACACUGUUUGGUGGUGAACAGAUGGUGGCUAAGAAGUUGCUCAUGGUUCCUGGGAGUCCUAACCAGGGCCUGAUACGGCAAACCUUUCAAUGAUUUGUAAACUCCUAGUGUAUCUUAUCUCCUUAAAACACAUAAACACGUAAAACUGUGUCUCCUUAAAACACAGCAUGGUUUUGUUUUCACCACUGAGCCCAAAGUAAUUAAAACGAACUGCUAUCACAUUCAUUUGUGUGUGUGUGUGUGUGUGUGUGUGUGUGUCUGUGAUUUGCAAAAUGAUAUAAAUAGGUAGAUAACAUUGUUAAAUAGAUAAAGCCUUAGAAGACGAGAGGAUACAAAUUAAUAUUUAUUAUACCUGUGUUCACUACAACAAUCCAGUUUGUGUUUUGCACUGUAAAUCCCAAAAUGUGUUAUAUUAUUUUUGUCAACUAGCGUUGCCAACACAAAGCCAAUAUAAGUUGAUUUUACAAGAGUAUACAUAUAAUAUUUAACAGCUGGGUUUGAAAAUAAUUCAGGUUUUAAAGUUGGAAGUAUCUUCGCUUUUAGUAGGUAAAGAAAUAAAAAUCUGAGAGGAAGGAUUAGGUGAUGUAAUUUCUUCUGUUUGAUACUUAAAUUCCAUAAGAGUCUAUAUUUGAGAAAUAUAAAAAUAUUGCUGAGUAGCACUUUUCUGGGACUUUGAGAAGUGUGGGAGACAGAAUGCACUUUACGAACAUUUUUUAUGCCUUGUAAAAAUAGCACUACAUAUAUAUGUGUUUAACUCUACAUAGCAAUGAACUUACUUUCUCUCUGCUUUUUAUAUUCCUUUAUGGUUUACUACCUUAGGCAUUAAAUCAAGAAUUUAAUAUGUUGAGGGGAAAGGGUUGCAUAUCAAAAGUUUCUUUCUUCAAGCAAAUAUGUGGUGGAUUCCCACAUGUCUACUGAAAUAAAACUAGGGAAUAAUAUGUAUGUGUAUUACAAUAUUCUUUUCAAGACUUUGGCAGGAGAAUUAUUUAAGUAUGUCAUUCUAUCUUGAAAGCCAACUAUGGGUUUAUGAGGGGGAGGGGAAUACAUCUAUACAUUAAUUCUUGCAAGGUUAAGAAGUUUUGGGUUUGAGUCUCGUAGCACUAAUUAAAAUUUUGUGGUUUUCAACAAGUGAUGCAUUACAUUUGAUUUAUUCUGCAUUGAAGAAGAAAGAAUAUCAUCUCUCAUCUCAUCUAAUGUUUAUCAAUCGGGUUAGCCAUUCUAACAUAGAUUUGAUGUUUUUAAGCAUCUUAAUGCAUAGUUAAUUGCAAUUGGCAAAUAACCUAUAAAUGCAUUGUGCAAUGGGCCUGCUGGUAUGGGAUGAGGUCAGCGUAAUGCAUGGCGAGAGGCAGCUUAGCUUUGUGGCUAAACACAGGUGUUCUGCAUAUCUGGGCUCCAAUAUCUGGGUUCAACUCCUAACUCCAUCGAAUACUAACCCUUUGAUUUUGGGCAUGUCACACAAUUUCAGCUUCAAUUAUUUUCUGUAAAAUGAGUAUUAUAAUUGUAUCUACUUUAUUCAGUUAAUGUGAGGAUCGAAUGGGUGAUUCAAGAUGUUGAUGCAUAUUCUCUAAAAAGAGGAAUUCUCCACUCUUAAUUGAUAUCAAAGGUUUUAUUAGUCCAUUUUCCCAUUGCUGAUAAAGACAUAACUGAGACUGGACAAUUUACAAAAGAAAGAGGUUUAAUGGACUCAGAGUUUCACAUGGCUGGGGAGGCCUCACAAUCAUGGUGGAAGGUAAAAAGCACGUCUCACGUGGUGGCAGACAAGAGAAGAGAGAACUUGUGUAGGGAAACUCCUCUAUAUAAAACUGUCAGAUCUUGCGAGACUUAUUCACUAUCACAAGAAUAGCACGGGAAAGACCUGCCCUCAUGAUUUAAAUACCUCCCACUGGGUUCCUCCCACAACAUGUGGAAAUUGUGGGAGCUACAAUUCAAGAUGAGAUUUGGGUAGGGAUACAGCCAAACCAUAUCAUAGGGGAUGUCCCUCUCCUAUUAACAUUUUUUAAAAUUAAGCCCUUAGUGAAUCCACUAUCCUGAAGUUCUUCCAUCCUACUGUUCUCAAAGCAGACACUAAAACUAAGGCUUAAAUGCAAAUGGUUUAUUUUGGUCUGUGAUUGGGAAUUAAAGGAAAAAGGAGUGAAGGUAACCAGGAGGCACUCUGGAAUUGAGUUGAUGCCACUGUGAACAACUGGGCUUGGAUUCUACUGGGCACUUCUGAGAUGCUCUUAAAAAUGCACCUCAGAAUUGUCUGCUCAACUUCACUGCAGGAAGGGAGGAUUAGCUCUUGGGCUCCCCUUCUCCAUUUAAUAAAUUUUGCCUCACCGGGCAUUAGCUCCCUCAUAAGCCCAAGUUGCACAAGGGCCAGAGGUAAAAGGCAUACAAUGCAGCUGAAGUGAAGUGCCACCACAUAACACUUGUGCAAAACUGGUGGCUGUGGCAAAAAUUAAAGAAAAGGUGAUCCAUGCAGAUGUGAGCAGGGGACAAGAGUGUCUUACAUAGCCUGCUAUACUUGGAGAGAACAGAAAAUGUAUCAUAAUGCUCCAGCCAUUUCAUUUGAGUCUCAUGCUGAACAAACCUGCUUCCUCAGCACAGUGAAUGAACUCUCAGCUCUGCUAUAUUUGCUAUUUUAAUACUUGAGAUAUGCUUCUUCUAUGGAAGAUCCACAUGUAUUGACUCUCCCUCUAUAGGAUGAACACUUACAUAUUUUGACAGUUAAUGAUAGGUGUCAACUUGGCUGGAUCAAGGAAUGUCUAGAAACCUGGUACAGACUUCUUCUGGGGUCUGUCUGUGAGGGUGUUUUCCCGAGAAGAUUUACAUGUGAGUUUGAGUGGACUAAGCAGGAAGAUCUGCCCUCAGUGUGGGCAGGCAUCAUCCAAUCUACUGGGGAUCCAAAGAGAACAAAAAUAGAGAAUAGGUGUAUGUGUCAAUCUAUCUGCUACAACAAGAAUACACUCUUUCUCUCCUGUCCUUGGACAAAUCUGGGCUCCCCAGCCUUUGGACUUAAGAUUUGAACUCCAAAACUUAAGACCAGUGUCCUCCCAGGUUCUCACACCUUUGGCCUCAGACCCUGAGUUACACCAUCUGUUUUCCUGGUUCCAGGCCUUUGGACUUAGACUGAGUCAAGCUACUGGCAUCUCAGGGUCUCCAGAUUGCAGGUGACCUGUCAUGGGACUUCUCAGCCUCUAUAAUCACAUAAACCAAUCCCCUCAUAAUUCCUGUCUCAUAUAUUUCUAUCUAAUCCUAUUGAUUCUGUCCCUCUGGAAAACCCUGACUGUAUCAGUGUUGAUUUAUAAUUUUUUAAAAUAGUCGCAGAAAUUCAUUUGGGAGAGUAAUUUUUGAUAUCCUCUUAAAAAGUAGGGAACUGAGAUCAAAUAACUUGUCCAAAGUUCCUUUGUAACUUUGCCCUUAGUGUCAAUAUAGUCAGCCCUCCAUAUCUGCAUAUUCAACCAACACUGAAGUAGCUUUAUUGAGUACAAAUGUUCCUUUUACAUUUUUUAAGCACUUGGAAGUUCUCUGAAAAAAAUAAAUAAAUCUGCUAAAAACACAAAUUUUUAUUGGCUUAAAGUAAAUUUUGGUUUUUUGAUUACAUUUUACUAAAAAAAGAUGCCAAAAUAUACUAAUCCUGAAAGAAGAUCUGAUGAGAGAAAAAUAACCAAUAAACUUAAGUCUGCAGCCAUUCUAAGGGCAUUCUGCUACUUUUACUUCCAAGACAAGAAUGAUUUAUCAUUAAAUAUAGUUGAAACUUUAUGGUCUUAUUUGGCUGUUUACCUCACUCACAAAAAUAACUGCCCUAUACAUGACUGUAUUUCAUUGUCCUAAUCUGGUUUCAUGUUUUUUGUUGUUAUUAUUUAGUGUAAAAACUGAAUGCUAACCCAUGUUCAUAUGUGCAUUUUUAAAAGCUAUACCUGUUGAAAUGUUGGAUAUUUUCACUAGCUCUCUUUUAGUCAUAUUAGCCUGUAAAAGUUUAUUGAAGACUAUUCAAUUACUGUACAUUGUUUCCUGCAAAAAAAAGUAUUGAAUUUUUUUCUGACCUCCCUUACUGAGAAUAAUGAAGACCUAGGAGAAUAAGGUACUUAUAUUUCAAAGUCUCUUAAAGUUAUUGCAUUUAUUUUCUUUCACAAAACAAAAGAAAGCAGGAAAGCAAAACCUAGUUUAAAUGAGUUGUUUUAACUAACUACUUCUUGACAGCUAAGAAAAAUUUCUUCCCAGUUGCCUUCUUUCCAACGUACACCAUCUAAUUCUUUCAUAGACAGUAAGAACACAUGGAGAGUGGGGAAGAAUGUAGCUUGCAGAAUUUAGUGAUUUAAUUGGUGGCCUUCUCAAGGGGUGCUACUGGAAUUUAGGCAGUUUCUACCAAAGUCACCCAAAACCGAACUUGAACUGGCUGCAUGAAGUUUUCCUACAUGUUUGUCAUCAAGAGUUCAAGCCGCUGCAGCACUUAGAGACCUGACCAUUCUACUGAAGAAAAGAAAUACUAUAGUAAACUCUAGUUGGUUGUGAAAUGAAUGUUUUCAAUUGCUAGAAGCUAAUGAUAAAAUUUUUCUAGUAAUACAUUGAUUUUUACAUUUACAGAUUUCCAUAGGAUUGACAAAGAUGCCUCUUCAUUUUUGAGAAAAGUCCCUUCAUUGCAAUAUUUUAUGAAAAGUUCUAUGUGUAACUAUUUGGUACAAAGUGUAAAUUUAGGUCUUCUUAAAAUGACUCUACCCUUAAAUAAUUUUGUUUUCAAGGGUCACGUCUCUUGGGUAAUGACUAACGUUCUCCUAGUGAUUAGUAAUAACAAUUAUGUAGAAUGGUGAUUCUUGGUGACUUUCUGUCCCACUGAAUGAAACAACAUAUUUCAAAAUCAAGACUCUGGGACAUUUGGUUCUUCUAAGUCACAUUUUUUCCCCAGUAUAUAAAGUCAAAUUUUUAUGUAAUUUUAUAUAAAUCACUUUUAAAUAAAAAAAAUUAAUAAAAUAUCAACAAGAAU
rnacentral:lncRNA from 10 species